rnacentral:ribozyme from 1 species
UUCCCAGCAAUUCCUAUCCCUACCUCCUCGUGGUGCCGGUCGGGUAACCAACCCCAGUGGGAACUUUGGUCGUAGGCUGACAGAGAAGG